UUUCCUGUCCUUGGGCUCUUGGGCCAACAUGAGACAUAUUAAUAGGUUUUUGUCCUCUGAGCAGUGACCAUCAGUGAUGACUCUGCAAAAUGUGAAGAUGGAGGUGAACCUCUGAAAGCUUCCACCCCAGCAGUGAAAAGGAAAACUGGGAUAGGACAGCAGCCAGAUGUGCCUGUGGAUUUUCAAGCUGAAAUAGUUCCUGUGACUUGUAAAGAGAAGAUGGGGCUGUUAAUUAAGAGAAGAAUAGAACAAGGAACUACAAUGAAGUGCAUAGCAGAGGCAGAAAUACAUUGGUUCACCCUCGGUGAAUUUGAAAUCAGAGGAGUCCACAAAACACUGGACCAAUGGAAGAUGAGACUGCACUGUGGAUGGAACUCUGAGUAGACCUCCAAGAAAACAUGGUUCAAAUAAAGAGGUGA